CUGACAGAGCGAUAGGGAGGCUCACCCCCAACCCCCCACCAUGAAUUCGCCGCCGCCGCAACGCAGCCGCCACACGCUGGUCGACGACGCCAUCCGCGAGAUUUUGCUCCGCAUCCCGCCGGAUGAGCCGGCGAGCCUCGUCCGCGCCUCCGCCGUCUGCACCACCUGGCUCGAAAUCAUCUCAGACCCCGCCUUCUUCCGCGACUACCGCGCUUUCCACGGGGCGCCCCCGGUGUUGGGCUACCUCCACAACAAAUCCUACGAAAGCCAUGGCGUCGCCCGAUUCGACCCCACCGGAGCCUUCUGCCCGCUGGUUCGCGACCGCCGCAACUGGCACGCGGCCGACUCCCGCCAUGGCCCCGCGUCCUCUUCUACACACCCAGAGAGAAGCACGCGGAUUUCGUCGUCUGGGACCCCAUCACGGACCGCCGGUGGGGGCUUCUCACCGACCCCAAGCUGUCGGAGAUAAUUGAGACUGCAGAGGACCAGCAGGAGGAGAUAACCUGGAUGGCCGCGGUGCUGUGCGCCCAGGAUGGCUGCGACCACCUGGACUGCCACGACGGUCCCUUCAUCGUGGCCUUCGCGGGCUCCAAUGAGUUAGAGAGGACCACGUUCGCCUCCUUCUACUCAUCCGAGGCUACCGAGUGGAGUGAAAUGAUCUCCAUUGAGAACCCGAAUGCCACCAGUGCCAUGGAGGAGACAGGGCACACCGCGGUUGUGGGAAACAAAGUCUAUUUCCCCCGCAAGUCGAGCAGAAGAAUAGUGGUGUAUGACGUGGGCGAGCAAGAACUUUCGGCGAUCAAUUUGCAGGACCAGCCAUGCGGUAAACUCAUGGGGGAGGAGGACGGUGCGCUGGUGUUUGCGAGCAUGGGGGAUUCUAAACUCUAUGUUAGGUUAAUGGAGGAUGGUCCCAAUGGAGUUGUGGCGAGGGGGCAACGCAGGGUUGUCGAGCUUCAAACAUCGCUCCCUCCUAGUGCCCUCUCGAGCACAUACUGGAUGGUACACAAAACCUUCGUAAGUGGUGGACCCUCGCUGGUUGGUUUCGCGAGUGGUGCCGGUGUCAUCUUCCUAAAUACAGAAGCUGGCCUGUUCACAGUUGAGGUUUGUACUGGCCAAACAAAGAAGGUACACAGAAAGAUGUUCGUGCAGACAGUCAUACCCUAUGUGAGCUUCUACAGUCGAGGUACUAGCUUCUUUGAACAUGCACAACUUCAAUAUAUUUGAUUCAACUUCAACUUGUAGUAGUACUUUUUUCUUUUCAGAACAUGUCAGGAUCGUAAUGCCACUGCAAUCAAAACGUGGUCGUGGCGACCAUUCAUAUGAAUUGGACACCGUUUUGCAUGAUCACGCUGGGGACAGGAUACCACUGCAAUGAGAGGGACCAUCCAUACAUCACGAAGAACCUGCUGCCUUUUCACAAUGAUGAAUUCUGGAGCUGCAUGAAUGCUGUCCCAGUUUCUGUGGAGAAAUGCUUGGAGCCUUUUGUGAGUAUGAUGUGAAGUAUUGAACUUUGGACGUGGUUUCAGAGGAGCAGUCGGUUUUGUUGGAUACAGAGAAAUGGUAGCCUUGUAUCAAAGUGUUCAGUUAGUCCAGCGUCACUAUAAUUACAAGAUUGUUCUUCA